AUUGAACGCUGGCGGUAUGCUUAACACAUGCAAGUCGAACGGCAGCACGUUGUUUCUUUUCGGAGAAAUAAUGGUGGCGAGUGGCGGACGGGUGAGUAACGCGUAGGAAUCUGCCCUAAAGUGGGGGAUAACCCGGGGAAACCCGGGCUAAUACCGCAUAAUCUCUACGGAGCAAAGCUGGGGACCAAAGUUUACUUUGGCCUGGCGCUAUAGGAUGAGCCUGCGUCGGAUUAGCUAGUUGGUGGGGUAAUGGCCUACCAAGGUAACGAUCCGUAGCUGGUCUGAGAGGAUGAUCAGCCACACUGGGACUGAGACACGGCCCAGACUCCUACGGGAGGCAGCAGUGGGGAAUAUUGGACAAUGGGCGCAAGCCUGAUCCAGCAAUACCGCGUGUGUGAAGAAGGCCUUAGGGUUGUAAAGCACUUUCAGUAGCU
rnacentral:rRNA from 1 species